UACAGAGGGGGCAAGCGUUGUUCGGAAUUACUGGGCGUAAAGGGCGCGUAGGCGGCCUGCUAAGUCGAACGUGAAAUCCCCGGGCUCAACCCGGGAACUGCGUCCGAUACUGGCAGGCUUGAAUCCGGGAGAGGGAUGCGGAAUUCCAGGUGUAGCGGUGAAAUGCGUAGAUAUCGGGAGGAACACCAGUGGCGAAGGCGACCACCUGGACGGAUACUGACGCUGAGACGCGAAAGCGUGGGGAGCAAACAGG
rnacentral:rRNA from 1 species